rnacentral:rRNA from 1 species
AUUGAACGCUUGCGGAAUGCUUUACACAUGCAAGUCGAGCGGCAGCGCGGGGGCAACCCUGGCGGCGAGCGGCGAACGGGUGAGUAACACAUCGGAACGUACCCAGUUGUGGGGGAUAGCCCGGCGAAAGCCGGAUUAAUACCGCAUACGACCUGAGGGUGAAAGGGGGGGAUCGCAAGACCUCUCGCAGUUGGAGCGGCCGAUGGCGGAUUAGCUAGUUGGUGGGGUAAAGGCUCACCAAGGCGACGAUCCGUAGCUGGUCUGAGAGGACGACCAGACACACUGGAAAUGGGAGACGGUGCAGACUCCUACGGGAGGCAGCAGUGGGGAAUUGUGGACAAUGGGGGCAACCCUGAUCCAGCCAUUCCGCGUGAGUGAAGAAGGCCUUCGGGUUGUAAAGCUCUUUCGGCAGGAACGAAACGGUGGAGGCUAAUACCUCUCAUCAAUGACGGUACCUGAAGAAGAAGCACCGGCUAACUACGUGCCAGCCGCCGCAGUAACAC